CCCGGAAGUGUUCCGGGGUCUCCCCUAGGCGGCGCGACGAAGCCCAGCCUCCGUCUCGCGAAACUCAGCGAGACUACGGAGGCCGGAAGGAUUGCGCUGAGCUUUUCUUGAGCUAAGGGCCGUCGGCGGCACCGAGGGCCUGGAGACAUAAAGAAGAAAAAACACCUGAUUCUUGAGUGGCACAACAAUCAAUAGAGGAGGAGACAUAAGAAGAAUUAGAUAUGGCACAGUGGCUAAAAGAAAAUAAUAUCAUGUUCCUCAAUUGCUUUUCUAAGCAUACUGGAUAAUUUUAGAAAUGUGCUCCUUUCUGUAGAGGAAUAAACAUGAACCCAGCCUACAAACCUAUGAGAAGCUGAUGUACUUUGUGUAGGAAGACUCCACAAUUCUUGAAGACAUGAGAAAGAAAAUUGCAAGGAAUCAAAGCAUGAAGAUCUUUGGAUGGUCCCGUGUAGAAGUUACUUAGGCAAUUCAAAUAAAAUAUAAACACUAUGUAAUA